rnacentral:lncRNA from 1 species
CUUAAUCAUAUGACUCAGUCUGAAUUUGCAUUCACUAAUCACUAUUCAACCGCUGACAGUUGCUGAUCAUUGUUGGAAUGACGAGUUGUGCGCCAUUGCGUCAUUAAAAUGUAAUAACAAAUUUAAACCAGUUGAAACAAUUGUUUGAAAUGGUCAAGUGAUGAUUCUCCAUGGUUCCUGAAAUUAAAAAGGUUGACAACAUUGCUUGAACUAGGGCGAACUGAUGACCAUAGAUGAAGACUAGUAAGCGGAUAGUUACAUCCUGUAUGCAGAUCAUGAGAUGUGCCACACUGUGUUCUGGAAGUCCUGAGAAGUGCCCUCUUUGCUAGUAUGCAUUGUGUCCUGCAAACAAAGACAGGUGCUGAAAGGUGGUUACAAGUUGCAUGACGUGUCUUCCGCGGUGUUUUACUAGAUCGCCGAACUUGGUGUUUGCGUAUAUGCCGGUCGGAGGCCUUCGUGAUUUGGUGUGGACUGGUUCGUAGUUGGACUACUUGCCGUGUCUUUGUAAAGGGUGGACUGGUGUCAUUCUGCUGUCCGAUGUUCUCUCGCGAUACGUAAAUCGAUAUAUCUACCAUGCCUGAUGUAUGAGCAGUAUUGCGUUUCGUGGACGUCAAUGAUGUGGAAGGCGUUUUCUUCUGUUGGCUUCAUUUGAAUUUAUCAUUCCCUGCACUUCUGUCAAACAUUAGUUGCUGAUGAAUACCGACCGUUGAUAGCUGCUUGGUACUGGCGAUCAACUUUCGCAGUUGUAAUUUGCUUCACAUCUAUCAUCUUUUCAUUUACUCAAUGUUGCUAAUCUUUGAUCCGUUUAGUCCAAAUUUUUAUGAGGCUGUGUCCAUUUAUAAAUGUUAUUUUUUGUAACAUGUUGGUUUAGUUGCGUUGAAAUUUAAACGAAAGUGAAUAUAUGACAUGCUGUAUACAAAUUUUUUAAAAUAUGAAGUGCUUUAUAAUGUGAAAAUUCUAAUAUUUUUCUGUUAGUAUGUUUAAAUGUUUAAUCUAGAAUUUUUGUGUAAUUUCCGAAAAUUUUUUAAGCAACAACGAAUUAAACAAAUCACAGCACGAAUAUGAAAGAAAACAGAGUCAUUGACCAUCUUUGUUCUUUGAUUUCAGAUCAGAGUUCGUGAAUUUCACGGCUCGAUCCAAAGGAGUUAAUUGGGUUGUUUUUGGAGAUAACAAAUACGGUGAAGAAUUCAGUCCAGAAAAUGCUGCAUUGGAAUCGACAUUUGGGAGGGCCAUUAAUGUAAAAUUUCUAUGCUUGCAUCCACGAGACAAUUUGAAUAAGCAAGCAAAGUCUUCACAUUCGCUGAUCCUGCUGAUUACAACCGCAUUCAACCCUAUCGAGACCCUAUUCUACUCCUCGGACUUACCGUACUUAACUUAAUAUAUAAGAAAGACCUAAAAACAUUUUUCUGUUUUUUGUUUAGGAAUUACGUGACAGGUUGUACUAUUGCAUUUCAUGUGUGUUUUCGGUGUGUAAUCCUGGAAUUUUGCUGAUUUUAUUACUAGCUCCGGUCAACAUUUGUUCUAGUUGCAGAUGCAUAUUUCCAUAACACUUUCCCGCCCAGAAGCCGUUCUUUAGUGGACAGUCAGAGGAUCGAAAAUCUGCUCUAUAUGUAACGUGCCUAAUAUCGGGAGUCGGCCACCGAUGUCAAUCUACAACGCAGUUUCUUAAUUGGAGCUGGUGUUUCCUGCGAUGUGUUGUUGCGGAUUUGUUACACUAUCAUGUUCAAAAAGGUAAAAUUUUGUCCGCCAGGUGGUGGAGUGCCUGUUCGUGAGUGACGAAGCCGCCAUUUGCUUUUGAGACAGCGUACGGGAAUAUGUUUCUGCUAAAUGACGGUGUUCUUCGCUUUUACAUUUUAAAAAAUGUUUCCACGCCAUUCGACCAAGUUGAAACGAAAGUGAACAAUUCUAAAGCAUCAUGUCGAAGAUCUUGCCAUUAUCCACGUGAUCGCUGCCAUGAAGGUGUGUCUUUGAGAGGGUCUCUACUAUAUUGCAAGACAAAAAUGUGAAGAAAACAGGAAAUCUGAAAUGGUUGUACUUAAAGCAUGUCGGAGAUCUUGCCUUUCUCAACGUGCGGUGCCAUGUCAACAAGAUGUCUCUUUGAUGAGGUCUCUACUAGAUUGCAAAACAAAACUGUGAAGAAAACAGGAAAUCUGAAAUGGAUUCCAUGGUCCGUUUGAUGUUUGAGCUGUUUGUGGUGUUGCUGUUUGGUGUGAAGUGGGUUUGCAGUCAUUUUCAACUUGAGAGAUGCGCUGAAAUGGAGCUUCGUCAGACUUGCAGUUCAACAUCAUACUUCAAUGUGUUAUUUCCCUAUGUUUGUGUCCGUGCAGUGUUGAGCUGUUGGGCAAAACGGUCAAUGUUGUCUGAUGGCUGUCAGGCAUAUUUAUCUGCUGCAUUUUGUCAAUAUGUCGUCUCUUGCUACCUGUACGUUGAGGUAGUGCUUGAUGAACAGUAUCAUUUAAUUUUUCAGUCGUUAUUGCAGCCCAAGCUGGUGAAAGAUCUUUUUGUAUCAAGUAAAUCUGACUGUUUUUUUUGUGUUGUUGGAGUGUUACGAAAGUUGCGUCAUUAUUGUGUUGAAUUGUCAUUGUGACUGCAGUUCACCGUUUAUAAUUUAGGAAGGGAAAAAAACAGAAUUAUGGGGAA